rnacentral:tmRNA from 1 species
GGGGGCGACUGGUUUCGACAUGAUAGUGCAAAAAGAGGAAGCAGGUCGUGGUCUCCUCGCCACGUAAAACAGGGGAACUUGUCAAAAUAAAUGACAACAAUAGUUUUGCCCUCGCUGCUUAAACAAUAGUCAGCGACGUCUCGCUAGGAUAAGACUCCGCUCUUAGCUACGACGCCAUUUUAGGAGUCUGCUCCAAGUGAUGUAGUCUGUAUGCGCUUGGAAAAGAUUAAACGGACUCGGCUUAAGUACGCGGGCCUUCAGGCGAGCUUUUGCUUAAAUUCAAUUGGGGGAUAAGCUUGUAGAAGCUCUUGAUGUUCUAGCAUGGACCGGAGUUCGAUUCUCCGCGCCUCCACCA